UGAAGGAGAUUUAGUAGGGAAACUGAGGAUGUGCCUGCACGCGGGACAUCUCACAGAAGUGGCCGGACUUAUCUGCAAACAGAAAUUCCUGCCAAGGAUGAAGGAGAGGAGAAAAAAAGCAGGGUUGAGGUUAUUAUGACCUGAAAGAGUUAUGUGAAGAGCAAUCAGCAAAAGGAUUUCAUAGGAGGUGAGGCAACUGCCUGAAAAGUGUUGAGUGUGAUGGAAAUUCAGGAGGGCUUCUACUGCAGGGGGUACAAAGGUGGAUAAUGGAGAAUCCCAUGUUG